rnacentral:rRNA from 1 species
GGACAGAAGGGAGCUUGCUCCCGGAUGUUAGCGGCGGACGGGUGAGUAACACGUGGGUAACCUGCCUGUAAGACUGGGAUAACUCCGGGAAACCGGAGCUAAUACCGGAUAGUUCCUUGAACCGCAUGGUUCAAGGAUGAAAGACGGUUUCGGCUGUCACUUACAGAUGGACCCGCGGCGCAUUAGCUAGUUGGUGAGGUAACGGCUCACCAAGGCGACGAUGCGUAGCCGACCUGAGAGGGUGAUCGGCCACACUGGGACUGAGACACGGCCCAGACUCCUACGGGAGGCAGCAGUAGGGAAUCUUCCGCAAUGGACGAAAGUCUGACGGAGCAACGCCGCGUGAGUGAUGAAGGUUUUCGGAUCGUAAAGCUCUGUUGUUAGGGAAGAACAAGUGCAAGAGUAACUGCUUGCACCUUGACGGUACCUAACCAGAAAGCCACGGCUAACUACGUGCCAGCAGCCGCGGUAAUACGUAGGUGGCAAGCGUUGUCCGGAAUUAUUGGGCGUAAAGGGCUCGCAGGCGGUUUCUUAAGUCUGAUGUGAAAGCCCCCGGCUCAACCGGGGAGGGUCAUUGGAAACUGGGAAACUUGAGUGCAGAAGAGGAGAGUGGAAUUCCACGUGUAGCGGUGAAAUGCGUAGAGAUGUGGAGGAACACCAGUGGCGAAGGCGACUCUCUGGUCUGUAACUGACGCUGAGGAGCGAAAGCGUGGGGAGCGAACAGGAUUAGAUACCCUGGUAGUCCACGCCGUAAACGAUGAGUGCUAAGUGUUAGGGGGUUUCCGCCCCUUAGUGCUGCAGCUAACGCAUUAAGCACUCCGCCU